GUGUCAGCAGCCGCGGUAAUACGGAGGGUGCGAGCGUUAUUCGGAAUUACUGGGCGUAAAGGGCGUGCAGGCGGGAUCGUAAGUCUGAUGUGAAAGCCCGGGGCUCAACCCCGGAAGUGCAUUGGAAACUACGGUUCUUGAGUAUCGGAGAGGAAGGGAGAAUUCCCGGUGUAGAGGUGAAAUUCGUAGAGAUCGGGAGGAACACCAGUGGCGAAGGCGCCCUUCUGGACGACUACUGACGCUGAGACGCGAAAGCGUGGGGAGCAAACAGGAUUAGAUACCCUGGUAGUCCACGCUGUAAACGAUGAUCACUGGGUGUAGCGGGUAAUCAUUCCUGCUGUGCCGCAGCUAACGCGCUAAGUGAUCCGCCUGGGGAGUACGGCCGCAAGGUUAAA
rnacentral:rRNA from 1 species